UUUACUAUUACUAAAAAUAUUAUAUGCUGAAUAAAAGUUUCCUCAUUUAUUAUGUCCUCACUUAGAUGGUGAGAUACUAAUAGAAAUUGUUUCAUAGCUUUUUAUUGUUUGGAAAUAUAAAAAAACCUGAAAGGACCAGGUGUUAAGUUAUACACAUAUAAACACAAGUGAGGUGAUGAAAUCAACAGUUUUCUGAAAUGGUACCUUCCCUCCUCUCACAAGAUUAGCUUUUCCUGUUUUGUGCUGCCCUCUAUAUGCAAUUUGUUUUCAAAAUGUAUGCCGCAAGCCUUCCACAUCCCUCUUUUUAAAUCCAAAGUUCCAACUUGACUCUCACGCAAAUCAUCAUGUGUCAACUUGCCACCAAUAGGAGAGCACUACUAUCAUGUGAUGCAUGUGACUUCCUCUAUGCACCACUACUGAACUAUCACUUCUCAUUUAGCAAUGCUCGAGUGCAGAUGUCUUUCUUUAGACCACUUAUUACCCUAGAAGUGGUUUAACCUUAUUUAAUUUAGUUCUACUUCAUUUAAUUUCAUUUCACUUUCAUUUGAGAGCAUUUGAUUUACCCGUGUUUGGCAUAUAUUUUUGGCUGGUUUAGUAUCUAGCCUGAAUUCUGAAGUCACUGUUACUGCUUCGGGUGCAUAUAACUCAUCUUUUACUGCACUUUUGGCCACAGGCGCGGGCAAACCAUAGGGGGAUUUCUCGGCCUUUGUUUGUGGGGAGAUGGAGCAUUAUAUGGAACACACGUUAUCUCCUGUUUGUGCCCUUCUUCUUCCUGUACUUUUUGAGCCUUUUACAGGCUCAGGCUGACAAAAUUUUUAUCCUCCCCCCCCCCCCCCCCAAACCUGGAGUUUGCUGUACCUUCCUACACCUUCUUGAGGAUUCUGUUCAUCCCUCAUUGACUUUCUCGGAGAUUAUAUCCCUAGUAUGUGAUGUUUUAUCUCUUGCCAUAGUUAUUUUGACCCACGUCCUUCUUUAUUGCUUGUUUCUACCUCUCGACCUUUUCCUCCAUUCCUUUAUGUUCUGGUUUUGCCACCCAGUUUGAUGAUGGCAUUGGUAUGCCUAGUCCCCUGCGGGCUUCAGAUCGGGCUCCCAAAUUCUGGACCACCAGUUGUGGGUUUAGUUUUACCUGUUUGAGGGGACGGCUCCCAAUUUUUCUGUUCAUCCUACCUAUGCCCUGCUUUCCCACCUUAGACUUCCUCUGACACUCUUUGUAAUAUCUCGCCUUAAUUCUCUUCCUGUCAGAGGCUUUAUCACAGGAACCCUAUGGGGAUUUCUGAGGACAUCCUCUCCCUCUUCCCUUCCACUAUAGGCCGUGUUUUGUCAUUGGCUCUGGCCCUACACACGUGGUUCACUUCUCUUUAGGACUUUUUGGGUUGCGACUCUAUCUUUUUGCAUUAUUAUAUUGCACACAUGGUUUCCUUCUGGGGUUCUCAUUCCUGCUUCUUUAUCCCAUGGCAAACUUCCUCUUCCUGUGAUCUUUCCCCCAUUACCCUGACCAAUUGGAUUUAUCUUUGGAUCCAGUGAGCUUAUUCCUCCUUGUCACCCUCCCAACGGGAUCUCUUUCACAUGUCUUCUCAUCAAAUCCAACGGCUUACCUUCUCUCUUGCUUCUCAUUUUUGUCAGCCAUUGGAGGACACAUUCAUCUCCUACUACUUGCAACACAUCACAAUUUCUGCUUCCUUGGGGUAUUUGCCUGCCACCUGUGGCUAAUCUACAGACUUGGUGUGGCUUUGACACAAGGUAGGUCCUUAUUUAUGCUUUCUUUUCUUUCAGGGGCCCUUGCUUCAACUUGUCUGGCCAGGGAUUCUUUUUGAACACUGAAUGGGUUCCACAUAGAUGGUUAUAACCAUUCUCAGAUAUAUUUCUACUUAAACAAAUAAAAGCACAAAUGUGCACUGUAUGCCAUGUUGAUUCAUGCACUUUGUCCAUGGCUUUGUAUGUUCACCCUUGAGAUGGGGUGUUUCACAUGAUCACUAGAAUGUGAAUAACCUUGUGAUGUUUGCUUCAUAAAAAUUACUGUCCUGGACCAUAAAGCAGAAGGGGAACACUGCCCAUCCCUACCAUGCCUGUACUGAAUAAGUCAGUAUGAUCAGCUUUUAAAAAUAUGGUUUUGUGAUCACCCAUUGCACUGUCUCAGGUGUAGCAGUCCGUCUGAACUCUCCAAUGCACUUCUUUCCCCCUUUCUUCCAGUGGAGUCCUUACCACAUACCAGAUCUAAGUCACUGAGGUUGUUGACCAUGGAGGCAACCUGCUGAAUGGGUUCAACAAAGAUGUCUAUAACCAUUAAAUUCAGAGUAGUGCGGUGGUGUUCAGCUGGUGUAGAAGGAGUUACAAAAUUCUCCAGAUGAGUGACACAUGCCUGUAGUGAGAUGCGUAAAUACAGCUCACCCCUCCAAUUGGGUGCCCUUCUCCUAACCUUGCGUGGAUGUUGGUUCCCAACAAGUGAGGUUUUGGAGAUCGAGUGAACCAAUUACAUAAGUCCUCACACAGGUUUCUGGUCAUCCAUCUCCCCCCCCCCCUCUCAACUCUGGCUUCUGUGUUGUGGGUCACAAGAAGUCUACGUGGCUUUUUUCUACUUCUGUUCUAGGCAUUCCCUCAUUUUCAGAAUGAUGAGGAUGUUACAGACCUGUGGAUAUUUUGGACUAGUUUCACGGUCGCGGGGGUUGAUUGCAUGCUAUUGACUUCCCCAGGAUACCGCAUGACACAUUUCUGGGUCCCUAACUCAGUGCUCAUCCUGUGACGUUUCCUGGAGUCAAUAUUAUAUGUAUAUUCAUGACUCUAGGGCUUGAGGUGUAGAUGGUAUGAUCCUCAUCCUUGUGUGGAUGUCAGUACCCAGCGAGUAAGGUUUUGGAUGUAGUUGACUUACCGUGCACGGUCCAACGUGCCCUAGCCACUCUACACCAUGGGACACAUUCUCCAUUACCAAUUUUCAUUACAUGGCAUUGAGUUUUGUCUGUUUCUCUGAUUAGGAUCACAUAACUGACCUAUCCUCUCCCAAGCAGAUAUACUCCCUUCAUAUUCCACCAUGUUUUGAUCCCACCUGUUCAUGAUGAAGAGAUACCUGGUUCAGAAGUGGUGUGGUGCCCCUUCUCAGAUCAUAUGAUCUGUUUCUCUCAUCUCAAGUGGUGUCCUUUGGAUGUUUUUGGGGGAUAUGCCUGUUCUGCCCUCCGUUCCCUCCUCCUUUUCAAUGUGGGAUUCAAGCUAAAUACGAAAAUGUAUUUCCAAUUGAUACUUCCCACCCUUCCUCCUCACAAUCUUCUGGUGCUUGUGUCUUCUGCCAAAUUUCGAAGUGAUAGUUUGGUAGUGGUGCAUAGAGGAAGUGACAUGCGUCACAUGAUAGUAAUGCUCUAGUAUUGGUAAAGAGUUGACGCACGAUGAUUUGCAUGAGGGAAAUGUUGGAACUUUGGAUUCCAACAGAGGGAUGUGGAAGGCUUGUGGCAUGCAUUUUG